ACAGGGUGUUACAAUACGAAGAAGCCAAUGGUAGCGGAAUAUAGAAAUAUUGUAGGAUACAAGAGACAUAGAACACACAUGGGAUGAUGAUCAUCUCAGUGGAACUUGAGGCUGGUCAAGACGUUGUUGUUGACGGGAUCCGCCAAGUGAUCAAGCAGGUUCUGGUAAGGCCCGACUCCGGUCACUAGUCCCUGGAUGAAGUAACCGAGGAUGGCGAGCAUAGCCAGUCUACCGUUCUUGACCUCCUUGAGUUUCAACUCUUUCAUUGACUUCUCAUCUUUCCCAAACCCAAGAGGGUUGAAGAAAGGUCCACCGGGGUAUGAUGGGUCACCUGAACCGGCCAAACCCUUCUCUAACCCCAAGAAGUACUGUUUCCCCAUAGAUCCUGGGUUGUACCAGUCCUGUAACCUCCUGUGCUCAGCAAAUCCCAUCAGAGCCAUCUCAAGAACAAAGAGUGUGUAAUUGUCUGCCCAGUAGCUGUAUGUCCCUGCAGGUGGAAUCACACCGGUUUGGAACCAGGGAAGAGCUGUCUCUGCGGGAAUCAGACCAGCCUUUCCUAGAAUCUCAGGAGCAAUAGCUCCAGCUGCACCCAACAUGGCGAACCGUCCGUUGAUGAUCUCUCCGUAUGCUAGCCAUCUCGGCUCAAUGAAUCCUCCGGUUCCCUCUGGGUCUGAGAGACCAAGUGGGUCGAAUCCAUAGUCACCAGGUAAGCUGUAAGAAUCACAACAUUUCCAAAUCUUUUGAACAUCAUGUAAGUUCUCAAAGCAAUCAAAUC
rnacentral:lncRNA from 1 species